UGCACAUCUUAUUUGCAUUAUUGCUUUAGAACUUUUUAUCAGAUCUAUAAAUAUAUUAUUGAGUUAAUUGCCUACCAAAUGACCCUUUGCUAUUUAUGUAUAUGCUUUACUUAAUAUAUUUAUAAACCUGUGAUCGGAAAUAGAAACGUGAUCGCUGUGAUUACUCAAUAAGAUCACCCAAUAUGGUAGCGCAGAUCUCGAGUUUCCUUUGCCGUAUUUCUGUCUCAAAUAUUGAUCAAUUUAAACAAUUAGCAAUCUGACAUUUGGGUAAACAUUUGGGCUACCAGGCUUUGACGGAGUGAUUUUGCAUUUUCAGGCCGCUAAACAACCGCAGAUUGCUGGAAUCAGUUGAGUGCGAUGGUUGUCCUACUCCUACCUAUUUUGUAUUCCUCGAUGUCAUUGUGGCCAAUUAACUGGAGAUCAGCGAUUUUGCGGACAAAAACAAAGGGGGAAAUGCGUGGAACUGGCUGCGCAGCGGAAUUCUAUCAACUUAAAGUCUAGAUUUACCACUCACAUACUAGUACAUGGAUGGACUGCCGUCGGAUUUCGUCGUUAGCUGAGUUUUCCAAUUUUCCACGCACAAGCAACCGAUGGGAACGCUUUUCUUUGGAGUUUUUCACUCGCUCUUUUCGCCACGAGCGUUGGCACUUUUCAGUUUCGGUUUCAGUUUUUGCUCGCCGUGCAGCGCAGUCGACGAGGCAGCGACGUCGACGCCAGAAAACACGAAGCGCUCGAUUUGAUUCACCGGCCGAGCUUCGUUUGGCUGAUAAAUACCUCUGCGCCAGGUGAUAAUGGCCCAUUGUGAUAAUAAAACAGCGCCAUAAACCACAUGUUAUAAUGGUGUACUGAAGCUGCCCUACGAGGAUCUCACUCCCUCCUUCGCACAAUCGAUUCGGUUUCUAGUUAGGGAAAGAGUGGCAUUCCGCUUUAUAGAGAGUAUUCGUAUACCUAUAGCCGUACUCCCGCAAAUCGCCGCAAAUCGUGUGCCGCUCACGUGAGCACACUCGCACUUUCUGGCAAAUUAAUAAAUUAAUCUCUCGCCCGCAUGAGAGACACAUGGCGAUGGGACAAGAUGGGAAAGAGACUUUACGAUAUUGACAAAUUGACAAGGCCCAUAAGGAGAUAUACGACGGGGGGAUACUAAAGUUCCAGAAUUGACGUCAGUUUGGGGUUAGCGUCUCAGGAGUCAUAAUCCAGUCUUACGUGUAGACAACCUUAACAAGGUAGUACUUAACGCUAUUUCUGCUAGACUACCAAUAUAGAGUUAAAAGUAUCUCAGUUUAAUUUGGAAAAUAUUUAACAGGAUAACUGUACUAAUUUUUAUGACAAUCGUCCAUAAACCGACGAUGGCCAGCGAUAAUAGUGAGGCCAGUUCGGUUCUGUGCUUCAGGUAGCCAAUAUCAACUGAUUUCGGGUCAAUAAAGAGUUGUAAAACACAAUCUUGACCAGCGGUAGUCGGGUCCGGUAUUUACUAUAUAUAGACCCGGCCAAUGAAUGGGCCAUCAGCCUAAACCGGGAAAACCGUGAUCACAUGACUUCGGAUUGUGGUUGGCGGAUUAAGCGAAUAACCGACUAUGUAUAACCUUUCAGAGAUCUCUUAUCACCGGUGCUAUAAGUAUGACAGCUUCGAGUGCGAUACAAUUGCCCAUGCCAAAUCAUAUUUAAGCGAUCCGUUUCAGUUCUUAUUGCCGGUAUUAUCUCGUAAAUAAUUGUAUUUGAAACUUGAGAUAGGACACAGCCCGUUUAGUGACGGAAUUGGGCAAUCGAUAAAGAUAUUUCAGCGCCACAUUUGAUCUGAAAAACUUUUUGCGUCCCAUCGUUUGACGCAGUUAAUGCGGCUUUCGAUUUCUAUUUAUUUUUUUGCAGAGAUAACUAAUAGCGUUUUGUGGCCAAACAAUUCGGGAAAAGAUGCAAGGAAAACGAACUUGUACAUAUUUAACUAUUUGCAAUUAUCUUAGAUGGACUUAUUUUCGUUAUUUUCCACGAACCAAAAGUUGAUUCCCUAGAUUGAACAGACUGAAAAUCGCGAAUCAUUGAAAAAAAGUCAAUUACCUUGUAAUAAAAUCUUAUCAAAAUUAUUAAGGCAGACAAUUCGGUAAUACAAAAUAUAUAUAAUAUAUAAAAUAUAAGUGAGUACUCAUAUUUUAUUUUAAAUAAAUAAAUAAGUUGACAUCAUUUUUUAAUUAGAGUGUGUGAGUGUUGAUAAUAAAGAACCACAAAUUAAAGUCACUGGCUGA